UUUGCACACAGGUGGCUCAAUCACCAUCCAUGAGCAUGCCCUUCGCAUGGCAAAAUAGUUGGGUCGUCCUGUACAUUUUGAUGACCUUUUCCACCAUACUCAUGUUCGAAAGAAUACCGGUGAUUUUGUAGAUCACAGAUCUAAACAAACAUAUGAGGAAUUUCAAAUUGUAUUUUCCCAAGCAAGAUCUGAGGCUGCUACUUG